rnacentral:rRNA from 1 species
AACGAACGCUGGCGGCAGGCUUAACACAUGCAAGUCGAACGCAUCCUUCGGGGUGAGUGGCAGACGGGUGAGUAACGCGUGGGAACGUGCCCUUCAGUUCGGGAUAACCCAGGGAAACUUGGGCUAAUACCGGAUACGUGCGAGAGCAGAAAGAUUUAUCGCUGAAGGAUCGGCCCGCGUCUGAUUAGCUAGUUGGUGUGGUAAUGGCCCACCAAGGCGACGAUCAGUAGCUGGUCUGAGAGGAUGAUCAGCCACAUUGGGACUGAGACACGGCCCAAACUCCUUCGGGAGUCAGCAGUGGUGAAUAUUGAACAAUGGGCGCAAGCCUGAUCCAGCCAUGCCGCGGGAGUGAUGAAGGCCUUAGGGUUGUAAAGCUCUUUCGUCCGGGACGAUAAUGACGGUACCGGGAGAAGAAGCCCCGGCUAACUUCGUGCCAGCCGCCGCGGUAA